rnacentral:rRNA from 1 species
AGAGUUUGAUCAUGGCUCAGGAUGAACGCUGGCGGUAUGCUUAACACAUGCAAGUCGUACGAGAGUUUUUAACUCUAGUGGCGAACGGGUGAGUAAUACGUGAGAAUCUGCCCUUAGGAGGAGAAUAACUGCUGGAAACGGCAGCUAAGUCUCCAUAUGCCGAGAGGUGAAAUAGUUUACACUGCCUAAGGAUGAGCUCGCGCCUGAUUAGCUUGUUGGUGAGGUAACGGCUUACCAAGGCCACGAUCAGUAGCUGGUUUGAGAGAACGAUCAGCCACACUGGGACUGAGACACGGCCCAGACUCCUCCGGGAGGCAGCAGUGAGGAAUUUUCCGCAAUGGGCGAAAGCCUGACGGAGCAAUACCGCGUGAGGGAUGAAGGAUUUUGGUCUGUAAACCUCUUUUCUCAAGAAAGAAGUUCUGACGGUACUUGAGGAAUAAGCAUCGGCUAACUCCGUGCCAGCAGCCGCGGUAAUACGGGGGAUGCAAGCGUUAUCCGGAAUCAUUGGGCGUAAAGCGCCUGUAGGUUGUUUAAUAAGUCCGUUGUUAAAGACUAGGGCUUAACCCUAGGAAAGCGAUGGAAACUGAUAGACUUGAGUAUGGCAGGGGUAGAGGGAAUUUCUAGUGUAGCGGUGAAAUGCGUAGAUAUUAGAAAGAACACCGGUGGCGAAAGCGCUCUACUGGACCAUUACUGACACUGAGAGGCGAAAGCUAGGGGAGCGAAAGGGAUUAGAUACCCCUGUAGUCCUAGCCGUAAACGAUGGAUACUAGAUGUUGUGCAAUUUGGACAGUAUCGUAGCUAACGCGUUAAGUAUCCCGCCUGGGGAGUACGCUCGUAAGGGUGAAACUCAAAGGAAUUGACGGGGGCCCGC